UACGGAGGAGGCAAGCGUUAUCCGGAAUUAUUGGGCGUAAAGCAUCCGCAGGUGGCACCUCAAGUCUGCUGUCAAAGACCGGGGCUUAACCCCAGAAAGGCAGUGGAAACUACAUGGCUAGAGUGCGUUCGGGGCAGAGGGAAUUCCUGGUGUAGCGGUGAAAUGCGUAGAUAUCAGGAAGAACACCGGUGGCGAAAGCGCUCUGCUAGGCCGCAACUGACACUGAGGGACGAAAGCUAGGGGAGCGAAUGGG
rnacentral:rRNA from 1 species